CCUACGGGUGGCAGCAGUGAGGAAUAUUGGUCAAUGGGCGCGAGCCUGAACCAGCCAAGUCGCGUGAGGGAUGACGGCCCUACGGGUUGUAAACCUCUUUUGCCGGGGAGCAACGGGCGCCACGUGUGGCGCCACUGAGAGUACCCGGAGAAAAAGCAUCGGCAAACUCCGUGCCAGCCGGCGCGGUAAUACGGAGGAUGCGAGCGUUAUCCGGAUUUAGUGGGUUUAGGGGGUGCGUAGGCGGGCUUUUAAGUCAGCGGAAAAUAUUCGGCGCUCCAACCCGUCCGGCCGUUGAAACUGGGUGCCUUGAGUGGGCGAGAAGAAGGCGGAAUGCGUGGUGUAGCGGUGAAAUGCAUAGAUAUCACGCAGAACCCCGAUUGCGAAGGCAGCCUUCCGGCGCCCUACUGACGCUGAGGCACGAAAGUGCGGGGAUCGAACAGGAUUAGAUACCCUUGUAGUC
rnacentral:rRNA from 1 species